GGGAGAAGUGGCUCGGGGCCCCCGGGCCGGCCCCACGGGGCGGGACCACGCGCCCUGCCCUGGCGGAGCCCGGGGACGAACCAGAGGUCGCGGCGCGGGGGAGGCGGAGGGCGGCGGUCCACCUGGCGACGUGGCAACCAUUGCCGACUCCGCGAGACCCUCCCCACUCGGCCUGCCGCCCGCCCUCUCUCUCUCUCUCUCUUUCGCGGCUGCUCCGGUGAGGCUGCUCUUCCCCGGCCGGACGGAGAGCGGCAGUGUCGCCCCGGCCCGCGCACUCGCCGCGCGUCCCCCGCGGCCACAGCUGCUCGCCAGCCCCGCGCCUAGCGGAGCCGCGCCGAGAGCGCAGUGGCGGCGGCGGGAAAGGGCUGCGGACCCGUGCCGCUCGCUCACUCGCUCUCGACGACGCGGCCCCGGCCUCGACGCCCUCCGCCCGCUCCAGGAGCAGGUACUUAUUUGUGGGAAAGAGAUGUCCUAUAUUAUGGAUCUGAGCAUUCCAGGUACUGAAAUGUAAGAAGACGUUAUGUGGGAUCACAGGAAGUACUGUUCCAUUUGUGGAUACCAGCCGUGGCCAUACCGAGUACGUUGAUUACAUCAAUGCCAGACACGUGGUAAGUAUUAUUAAAAUUGCUGGUUGUAAAUAUUUUGCACAUAGGUUUUCAAACUUUCAUUUAUAUAUUUGAAUGAUUAAAACACAAAUCUU
rnacentral:lncRNA from 1 species